rnacentral:lncRNA from 1 species
UUGUAGGUACUUUCAAGAAAUAUAGUUAACUGUAAGUGCUGUAUUUUAAUAAUCUGUCAAAAAUCAAAAUCAUCAGGAUAAUAUUAGGUAUUGAUUUUCAAACAAGAAUUAGAUUACAGCGAUGGUCAAAAGCAUUUAGAUAUUGCUUUGAAAUCUACAGAUAAGAAAUACUGUCCACUUGCAGUAUUUACAUAGGAAAAUGUUGGAGGAUGAAGCUCUACCUACUGCCUCAGGUUAAUUUAAAUUCUGAGUUGCAACAACAGCAACAAGCAAGAAGGGCACCAUUAAAUGAAUAUUAUAUUAUUAUACAAAGAAAGAGUAAUGUUAUACACAUAAAUAUUAACAUUUUGUAGAGCAACAACAGAAUAAAAAAACAAAAUAUGAACACCAGCAACUAAAACAGGAACCAUUAAAUGAAUAUUAUAUACAGCAAUGACAGCAUCAAAUAAUGGAAAUAAUGGACCUUAUUGCACAAAUCAAAAACAAAAUUUCAGUAUUACUUUAUUGGUUAUAUCAAUAAAAGAAAUUGAGUUUAUCAGUCUAGAUCCUACAAGCAAGCAGAUCUAUCACAUAAUUUUAAAUGAAGAUUUAUCUAUCAUAGUAAUUUAUUCUAAUAACGAAAAAAAAACUUUGGAUCAAAAAAUAUUUUCUUCUGAUGAGGUUUAUGAAUAUUAAAGUCUGUUGAAGUUUGGCCAUUAUGUGUUGGUAUACAAUUUAUUUAUGAUGUUACAGUAGUUAAACCAUCCGAGUACGAAACAUGUUUAAUAUCCACUAUUCUUAAUGAAUGGAAACUACCAACUUGAGAGGAAGCUAAGAGAAAGGUUCUAUUGGGUGGACUACAAGGAAAAGGGAUAUACAUGAGGAUCU